GAUUAACGCUAGCGGCAGGCCUAAUACAUGCAAGUCGCACGGGAUUCAGGGUAGCAAUAUCUUGAUGAGAGUGGCGCACGGGUGCGUAACACGUAUGCAAUCUACCUUUAACUGGGGAAUAGCUCACCGAAAGGUGAAUUAAUACCGCAUAAAAUCAUAGAAGGACAUCCUUCAAUGAUUAAACCUACGGGGGUUAAAGAUGAGCAUGCGUCCGAUUAGCUAGUGGCGGGGUAACAGCCCACCAAGGCAACGAUCGGUAGGGGUC
rnacentral:rRNA from 1 species